rnacentral:rRNA from 1 species
UACGGGGGGGGCAAGCGUUGUUCGGAAUUACUGGGCGUAAAGGGCUCGUAGGCGGCCAACUAAGUCCGACGUGAAAUCCCCAGGCUUAACCUGGGAACUGCGUCGGAUACUGGAUGGCUUGAAUCCGGGAGAGGGAUGCGGAAUUCCAGGUGUAGCGGUGAAAUGCGUAGAUAUCUGGAGGAACACCGGUGGCGAAGGCGGCAUCCUGGACCGGCAUUGAUGCUGAGGAGCGAAAGCAAGGGGAGCAAACGGG